rnacentral:rRNA from 1 species
UACGGAGGGUGCAAGCGUUAUCCGGAUUUACUGGGUUUAAAGGGUGCGUAGGUGGGUCUGUAAGUCAGUGGUGAAAUCUCCGAGCUUAACUCGGAAACUGCCAUUGAUACUAUAGAUCUUGAAUUAUCUGGAGGUGAGCGGAAUAUGUCAUGUAGCGGUGAAAUGCUUAGAUAUGACAUAGAACACCAAUUGCGAAGGCAGCUCACUACGGAUUGAUUGACACUGAGGCACGAAAGCGUGGGGAUC